rnacentral:rRNA from 1 species
UACGUAGGGUGCGAGCGUUGUCCGGAAUUAUUGGGCGUAAAGAGCUUGUAGGCGGUUUGUCGCGUCUGCUGUGAAAAUCCGGGGCUCAACCCCGGACUUGCAGUGGGUACGGGCAGACUAGAGUGUGGUAGGGGAGACUGGAAUUCCUGGUGUAGCGGUGAAAUGCGCAGAUAUCAGGAGGAACACCGAUGGCGAAGGCAGGUCUCUGGGCCAUUACUGACGCUGAGAAGCGAAAGCAUGGGGAGCGAACAGG